GAUGUUUUUUCGUUUGUUUUUUGAAAGUUGAUUUUGCACUAUUAAGUUGUAUAAGCGUUGCUUGUCUCAUAUUCAGUUUUAAAGCAAAUCAGUGUAGCAAACUGAGCAAUAAUUCACGUUUUAUUCGUGCACUUUCCUUUGCUACUUCAAGGCUUGAAUGUUUGAUUCAUUCAUUAUUGUUAUUCUAUUUUCAAAUUUAUUAUUAGCCUGUGGAAAAAGUUUAUUUUGAUAUUUACCUCAGAAGGCUGCAAAUAGAAAAGAGGCAUUCAAUUUUUAUUUAAAUUUUAUUUAAUAUGCCAUUGAUAUUUUUUAAUUAUUAUUAUUAUUUGAAACUCGAUUUUGCAUGUCACUAUAAAGUUAUAUAAGCUUUGCUUGUUCAAUAUUCAAUGCAAAACUUGUUUGAGUCCCUAUUAAAAGGUUAAUUUGUUCAGUUUUAAAUUUUGGCCCACUCUGUAUUUGAGUUGGACACCCCUGCUCUAGUGGGACUUGGUGGACGCUCAGAUGAAAUGUGUCAAAGUGAGAUGCAGGAGGAGGUGAAAUGUGUCAAAGUGGGAUGCAGGAGGGUGAAAUGUGUCAAAGUGAGAUGCAGGAGGAGGUGA